UUUAAAGAGAGUUUGAUCCUGGCUCAGGACGAACGCUGGCGGCGUGCCUAAUACAUGCAAGUCGAACGAACGGAGGAAGAGCUUGCUCUUCCAAAGUUAGUGGCGGACGGGUGAGUAACACGUGGGCAACCUGCCUGUAAGUUGGGGAUAACUCCGGGAAACCGGGGCUAAUACCGAAUGAUAGAGUGUGGCGCAUGCCACGCUUUUGAAAGAUGGUUUCGGCUAUCGCUUACAGAUGGGCCCGCGGUGCAUUAGCUAGUUGGUAGGGUAAUGGCCUACCAAGGCAACGAUGCAUAGCCGACCUGAGAGGGUGAUCGGCCACACUGGGACUGAGACACGGCCCAGACUCCUACGGGAGGCAGCAGUAGGGAAUCUUCCGCAAUGGACGAAAGUCUGACGGAGCAACGCCGCGUGUAUGAAGAAGGUUUUCGGAU
rnacentral:rRNA from 1 species